AUAAUAAUCAUUUGACAGACCUUCUUGUUUUUAAAAUAUUUUAAAUACGAUGCACUAAUGGGUAUAGAAUAUUUUAUACCCAUUAGUGCAUCGUAUUUAAAAUAUUUUAAAAACAAGAAGGUCUAUCAAAUGAUUAUUAU
rnacentral:sRNA from 1 species